rnacentral:tRNA from 1 species
GGGCCGAUAGUGAUAGCGGUAGCACUUCUGCCUUGCACGCAGAGAGUAGGGGUUCGGCUCCCCUUCGGUCCACCA